rnacentral:rRNA from 1 species
CAGGGUGACAGGUGGUGCAUGGUUGUCGUCAGCUCGUGUCGUGAGAUGUUGGGUUAAGUCCCGCAACGAGCGCAACCCUCGACCUUAGUUGCCAGCAUUCAGUUGGGCACUCUAAGGUGACUGCCGGCUAAAAGUCGGAGGAAGGUGGGGAUGACGUCAAAUCAUCAUGCCCCUUAUGACCUGAGCUACACACGUGCUACAAUGGGCGGUACAAAGGGUCGCGAACCCGCGAGGGGGAGCCAAUCCCAAAAAGCCGCUCUCAGUUCGGAUUGCAGGCUGCAACUCGCCUGCAUGAAGCCGGAAUCGCUAGUAAUCGCGGAUCAGCACGCCGCGGUGAAUACGUUCCCGGGCCUU